UACAGAGGUGGCAAGCGUUGUUCGGAAUUACUGGGCGUAAAGGGCGAGUAGGUGGCCAUCUAAGUCAGACGUGAAAUCCCCCGGCUUAACCUGGGAACUGCGUCUGAUACUGGACGGCUAGAGUAUGGGAGAGGAAUGUAGAAUUCCAGGUGUAGCGGUGAAAUGCGUAGAUAUCUGGAGGAAUACCGGUGGCGAAGGCGGCAUUCUGGACCAUUACUGACACUGAAUCGCGAAAGCUAGGGGAGCAAACGGG
rnacentral:rRNA from 1 species